rnacentral:rRNA from 1 species
CCUACGGGUGGCAGCAGUCGAGAAUCAUUCACAAUGGGGGAAACCCUGAUGGUGCGACGCCGCGUGGGGGAAUGAAGGUCUUCGGAUUGUAAACCCCUGUCAUGUGGGAGCAAAUUAAAAAGAUAGUACCACAAGAGGAAGAGCCGGCUAACUCUGUGCCAGCAGCCGCGGUAAUACAGAGGUCUCAAGCGUUGUUCGGAAUCACUGGGCGUAAAGCGUGCGUAGGCUGUUUCGUAAGUCGUGUGUGAAAGGCGCGGGCUCAACCCGCGGACGGCACAUGAUACUGCGAGACUAGAGUAAGGGAGGGGGAACCGGAAUUCUCGGUGUAGCAGUGAAAUGCGUAGAUAUCGAGAGGAACACUCGUGGCGAAGGCGGGUUCCUGGACAGUAACUGACGCUGAGGCACGAAGGCCAGGGGAGCGAAAGGGAUUAGAUACCCUAGUAGUC